ACGCUCGACACCUACGGGGGGCAGCAGUGGGGAAUAUUGGGCAAUGGAGGCAACUCUGACCCAGCAACGCCGCGUGAGUGAUGAAGGUCUUCGGAUUGUAAAACUCUUUAAGUAGGGACGAAGAAAGUGACGGUACCUACAGAAUAAGCCUCGGCUAACUACGUGCUAGCAGCCGCGGUAAUCUGAGCGGGCUGGCAAGGC
rnacentral:rRNA from 1 species